AUGCUCCUCCUUCCCAACUCAUCUUCUCCGACGAACUUAAUCACAUCACCGCCGUGUUUAACCGUCUCGUCCCCUCUUCGUCUCAUCGAUUCCCUCUCUGGCUCCUUUGCUCUUCUCCCACCAUCACAACACUGUGGCUACACCACCGCACGAUCGUAUCUCAUCUUCUCCGCUCAUCUCUCCAUUCCGGUCCAACUUCUUUCGCGGAUCUCUUCACCAUCUCUAAUUGAAUCAAAAGCAAAUAGCAAAGCAUACAAUAUACUAAUGAAUAACGCAAGGCUUACCUACCAGAGACAAGUCUGGUGCUUCUUCGUGGCUCAUGAAAGCUUCGAUCUCCAUUGA